rnacentral:rRNA from 1 species
UGAGUGAUGAAGGCCUUAGGGUUGUAAAGCUCUUUCACCGGAGAAGAUAAUGACGGUAUCCGGAGAAGAAGCCCCGGCUAACUUCGUGCCAGCAGCCGCGGUAAUACGAAGGGGGCUAGCGUUGUUCGGAAUUACUGGGCGUAAAGCGCACGUAGGCGGAUAUUUAAGUCAGGGGUGAAAUCCCAGAGCUCAACUCUGGAACUGCCUUUGAUACUGGGUAUCUUGAGUAUGGAAGAGGAGAGUGGAAUUCCCGGUGUAGCGGUGAAAUGCGCAGAUAUCGGGAGGAACACCAGUAGCGAAGGCGGCUCUCUGGGCCAGUACUGACGCUGAGGAGCGAAAGCGUGGGGAGCAAACAGGAUUAGAUACCCUGGUAGUCCACACCGUAAACGU